GAUGAACGCUAGCGGGAGGCUUAACACAUGCAAGUCGAGGGGUAAAUGGUAGCAAUACUAUGAGACCGGCGGACGGGUGCGUAACGCGUAUGCAACAUACCUUUAGCAGGGGGAUAGCCCGUGGAAACGCGGAUUAAUAUUCCAUAGUCCAGCAGUAUCGCAUGGUACCACUGGUAAAGAUUAAUCGGCUAAAGAUUGGCAUGCGUCUGAUUAGUUAGUUGGUAGGGUAACGGCCUACCAAGGCGACGAUCAGUAGGGGUUCUGAGAGGAUUACCCCCCACACUGGGACUGAGACACGGCCCAGACUCCUACGGGAGGCAGCAGUUGGGAAUCUUCGGCAAUGGGCGCAAGCCUGACCGAGCAACGCCGCGUGAGUGAUGAAGGUUUUCGGAUUGUAAAGCUCUGUCUUCCGGGACAUAAUGACGGUACCGGAGGAGAAGCCAGGCUAACUACGUGCCAGCAGGCCGACGGUAAAAGUGUGUGUA
rnacentral:rRNA from 1 species